rnacentral:lncRNA from 1 species
CCCCAUUCUUGUGUCCCGCACUCAUAAAGUUUGCAUAAAUGUGUCUAAGGCAAUACCUAUGGCAUGAAUCAGGAAAUACCAAAUGAACUGCAGCUAUGAGGCCCUUCUGCCUGUCGGACAUGAUGGUGUAAUUGCCAAACUGGCCCGCAGUACCACCCAACACAUACUUCAACUGAUUGAGAAACCAUGCCCAAGAUGCUUUAUCUUCUGUUCCAACAACCGCAAAUGCUAGCGGAAAAAAGUUGUUAUUGCCAUCUCGAGCUGUUGCGGCAAGAACUUGGGCUCCAUUGCCCAACUUCAGAAAA